rnacentral:rRNA from 1 species
CAAUAACCCCCAACUUCUAAGGUUGACCUCGGAUCAGGUAGGGAUACCCGCUGAACUUAAGCAUAUCAAUAAGCGGAGGAAAAGAAACCAACAGGGAUUGCCUCAGUAACGGCGAGUGAAGCGGCAACAGCUCAAAUUUGAAAUCUGGCUCUUUCAGGNUCCGAGUUGUAAUUUGUAGAAGAUGCUUUGGGUGUAGCUCCGGUCUAAGUUCCUUGGAACAGGACGUCAUAGAGGGUGAGAAUCCCGUAUGUGACUGGGUGCUUUCGCUCGUGUAAAGCUCUUUCGACGAGUCGAGUUGUUUGGGAAUGCAGCUCAAAAUGGGUGGUAAAUUUCAUCUAAAGCUAAAUAUUGGCCAGAGACCGAUAGCGCACAAGUAGAGUGAUCGAAAGAUGAAAAGCACUUUGGAAAGAGAGUUAAACAGUACGUGAAAUUGUUGAAAGGGAAGCGCUUGCAACCAGACUUGCGCGCUGUUGAUCAUCCGAGCUUUUGCCCGGUGCACUCGACAGCGUUCAGGCCAGCAUCGGUUUUGGUGGGCGGAUAAAGGCCUUGGGAAUGUAGCUUCUUUCGGGGAGUGUUAUAGCCCUCGGUGCAAUGCGCCCUACCGGGACCGAGGACCGCGCUUCGGCUAGGAUGCUGGCGUAAUGGUUGUAAGCGACCCGUCUUGAAAC